AUGGAGACAGAACGCCCUGCUCGCAGGAAGAGACAAGCGAGGGCUCAGAUGUGGCUUAUGAUUGGACAGCCUAUGGGAAGGCCCUGCCCCCGCCGCCGGGGAGGGUGGACCUUCGGAGGGACUCGGGACGCAGGCGCACUGUGCUCCUGGAGCCUGGGGAUGCGCGCGCAUUGGCGCUGGCCUCGUCCUCGCUGCCGCUCGCACGCCCGUUCCCUUUCGGCCUUUGCGUGCCUGGCUCCCCGCGCCCCCGGGGGAGCGCCUUCGGAGCCGCUCUGCCCACUGAGGGCACAGCACGUGCCCCGGAGGAGGAGGAGGAGGGAGAGGAAGAGGACGGAGCAGCCCCCUCUGCACUCCUGGCAGCCCCUUGCCAGGUAGGUUUCUGGCUCUGUUAACAAGCCUUAUGUCUGGUUCCCAUUGCUGUCCCUGGGCCCCCUCCCUGGUUACCACUUGUCAGAAUGGCCACUCCUUGAGGCCAAGGACCUUCCCACAAGGACCAGAUCCCCCUGGCUGUGCUCUUCCCUCCGCCCUUUCCCCAUAGUCCCCACUCCCUCAUUGCUUCCCUGGGGCCUAAGGCUGGAGGGAGUGCUGUCCAGGUGCCUGGGGAGGGCCAUACGGCUGGCCCUUUGAGAGACAGGGCCUUGGCUGGAGCCCUUGGAGCAAGCCUCGAUGGGAGAAGGUAGGUCAGGCAGCAAGGCUCUCAAGGAAGACUUUGGGGAGGUACUUUUGCGGGGGCCUGGGCAUGGCGCUGCUAGUGGGGAGAACAGGGUGAACAAGAGCUUGGAGGUGGGCAUUUACGUGCUUUUGGGAGGGGCCUGAGUUGUGGGCUCAGUGUUUGGGAGCAGAAGGAAAUGAGGUUGGACACAGUCUGUGGAUAGCCUUGAAGGCCUGGCCCUGGCUCUUGGCCGCAGGCUGGUCCGUGCUGGGGCUGUGUUGGCCCCUCUUUGCUGUCGGAUGAGGGGAGUCCUGGGCAAGGAUUAGGGUCACAGCCACAGGGUAGCCAGAGUAUAUUCUUGACUGUCAGAUCCCUGGGUAGGCCUUGGUCUCUAGCCUCCCACCAUGUGCUGCCUUCUGACAGCAUGUGUUAUCUGACCUCCCCUGGGCCCUCCUGGCCACCCAUAACCCACCUCGGUCUCCCACUGCCCCCGGGGCUGUCCUGAGCCUCUCAGCUGAGGAGGGCCCCACCUCCCCCUUCUGCCUUUCACCCUUUCUCAGGCAUUCCCCCCUGGGGGCUUCAGAGGCUGUCCCCUGGAGGGGCCUCAUCCAGCUCCCCACCGAGGCUGGCCCCUUGUUCUCAUGCCUCCAAUCUCUUCUCCCCUUCUAUGGCAUCCUCUGCUGGGGAUGGCUCUAAAUUUGUGCAUCUCAUGUUUCUUUUAAG
rnacentral:lncRNA from 1 species